GACGAACGCUGGCGGCGUGCUUAACACAUGCAAGUCGAGCGGAAAGGCCCCCUUGUGGGGUACUCGAGUGGCGAACGGGUGAGUAACACGUGAGUAACCUACCCUUGACUUUGGGAUAACUUCGGGAAACUGGGGCUAAUACCGGAUAGGAGCUCCUGCUGCAUGGUGGGGGUUGGAAAGUUUCGGCGGUUGGGGAUGGGCUCGCGGCUUAUCAGCUUGUUGGUGGGGUAGUGGCUCACCAAGGCUUUGACGGGUAGCCGGCCUGAGAGGGUGACCGGCCACAUUGGGACUGAGAUACGGCCCAGACUCCUACGGGAGGCAGCAGUGGGGAAUAUUGCACAAUGGGCGGAAGCCUGAUGCAGCAACGCCGCGUGCGGGAUGACGGCCUUCGGGUUGUAAACCGCUUUCGCCUGUGACGAAGCGUGAGUGACGGUAAUGGGUAAAGAAGCACCGGCUAACUACGUG
rnacentral:rRNA from 1 species